CUGCUAUGGAUGGACCCGGUGAUGGUCUAGAAAUUAAAAAAAUUAAAAAAAUAUGUACUCAUUAAAAAUUUUUCAGUAAAAAAUUCUUCGAUGUUUGAGUUAGUCGAAUCUUAAGAAUAAUGGAAGAAUAAAAAUUAAAGAGAAAAAAAUAUAUAUAUUUUUUUUUCUAACGAAACUUAUCUGAGGAUUUCUUUGCCCCUUGAUAUGGGGAAAAAAAUUUUGCCUC
rnacentral:lncRNA from 1 species